UUCUGACCCCGGCCCCUGACUCCCAGCCGUCCGACGCCCUGCCGCACUUCCCCGGCGGCAGGUCGGGACGGAUGGGGAUCAGGAGCCGCGGACAGGACAGC
rnacentral:ncRNA from 1 species